ensembl:snRNA U4 U4 spliceosomal RNA
AGCUUUGCGCAGUGGCAGUAUCAUAGCCAAUGAGGUUUAUCUGAGGCGCAAUUAUUGCUAACUGAAAAGAAUUAAGACAUUUUAUGUACAUGUACCAACUCCCCACAAAGAAUAUAAUCAUGUAAUGCAAACAUG